rnacentral:tRNA from 1 species
GGUAAAAUGGCUGAGUAAAGGAAUAGACUGUAAAUCUAAGAACAGAGGUUUGAUUCCUCUUUUUACCA